GGCCAGACUCCUACGGGAGGCAGCAGUGGGGAAUAUUGCACAAUGGGGGAAACCCUGAUGCGGCGACGCCGCGUGAGUGAAGAAGUAAUUCGUUAUGUAAAGCUCUAUCAGCAGGGAAGAAAAUGACGGUACCUGACUAAGAAGCCCCGGCUAACUACGUGCCAGCAGCCGCGGUAAUACGUAGGGGGCAAGCGUUAUCCGGAUUUACUGGGUGUAAAGGGAGCGUAGACGGCAGUGCAAGCCAGAUGUGAAAGCCCGGGGCUCAACCCCGGGACUGCAUUUGGAACUGUGCUGCUAGAGUGUCGGAGAGGCAGGCGGAAUUCCUAGUGUAGCGGUGAAAUGCGUAGAUAUUAGGAGGAACACCAGUGGCGAAGGCGGCUUACUGGACAGUAACUGACGUUGAGGCUCGAAAGCGUGGGGAGCAAACAGGAUUAGAUACCCGGGUAGC
rnacentral:rRNA from 1 species